rnacentral:tRNA from 1 species
UUAAUUGAAACCAAAAUAGAGGUAAAUCAUUGUUAAUGAUUAAAUUGUGUACUACUCCAAUUAAA